rnacentral:rRNA from 1 species
GUAAUAAUGAUUUAAUUAGUAUGUUUAUUUAUAAUUAAAAUUAUAGGAAUUCGGCAAUUAAAAUACUCGCCUGUUUAACAAAAACAUGUCCUUUUGUUAUUUAUAUGAGGUCUAACCUGCCCAAUGAUGAUUUUAAUGGCCGCGGUAUUUUAACCGUGCUAAGGUAGCAUAAUCAUUUGUCUUUUAAUUGGGGGCUAGAAUGAAUGGUUGGACGAGGUAUUAACUUUCUUUAAUUUAAUUACGGAAUUUAAUUUUUGAGUGAAAAAGCUUAAAUUUUUUUGUUAGACGAGAAGACCCUAUAGAUCUUAAUACUUAACUUAUUUGUGAUGUUUGGGGAUUAUUAUAUUACUAUUAAGUACAGUAUUUGAUUGGGGUGAUUGUAGAAUUAAAAUAACUUCUAUUUUAUAUAUCAUUUAUGUAUGUUUUUAUGAUCCAUUAUAAUGAUUAAAAGAUUAAGUUACCUUAGGGAUAACAGCGUAAUUUCUGUGGAGAGUUCAUAUCGAUGCAGGAGUUUGCGACCUCGAUGUUGGAUUAAAAUAAGUUUUGAAUGUAGCAGUUCAAUUACUGGGUCUGUUCGACCCUUAAAUUUUUACAUGAUCUGAGUUCAGACCGGCGUAAGCCAGGUCAGUUUCUAUCUUCAAUUAAAUUGUAUAUACUAGUACGAAAGGACCUUAUAUACAAAAUAAUUUUUAUUAAAUAUUACUUUGGCAG